GCGGGUGUAGUUCAGUGGCAGAACACCAGCCUUCCAAGCUGGUCAUGUGGGUUCGAUUCCCAUCACCCGCUCCA
rnacentral:tRNA from 1 species